rnacentral:rRNA from 1 species
UACGAAGGGGGCAAGCGUUGUUCGGAAUUACUGGGCGUAAAGGGCGCGUAGGCGGCUUAUCAAGUCAGGCGUGAAAUUCCCGGGCUCAACCUGGGGGCUGCGCUUGAUACUGAUUGGCUUGAAUGCGGGAGAGGAUAGUGGAAUUCCCAGUGUAGAGGUGAAAUUCGUAGAUAUUGGGAAGAACACCAGUGGCGAAGGCGGCUCACUGGCCCGAUACUGACGCUGAGGUGCGAAAGCGUGGGGAGCAAACAGG